ensembl:lncRNA
AAAUAGGAAAACUUUUUCAUGUUAUGUUGUCAUACCUAAAAACCGUUGUACUGAUUAAUGAAGUAAUAUGUUUAGCUAACUGAGUGUUUUGGGGGUUUGGUUCUAAGUCUCAAAAUGGUUCAUUAAAGGACCUUCAUUAGUGUGCUUUUGCUAAUAAAUUCAAGCUAUUCCACAUGGGACAAGAAGAAACAGUAUUUCAUACAACAAUGUUUACUACUCCCCUUGCAGAAGAGGGAAAACUGGCUCUAAGCAGAAUUCAAAAGAAGUGGGAAACACUGGUGCAUAACUGAUAACACAGGCUCUUCAGAGUCUCUAAUUUAAGACCUUGAGAAUCUGGCAAGUCUUGAACUGCUAGCUUUAUUAAAUAUGAACUGCAAAGCACCAUUUUCAGCAUUGAAGUGAAUCAGGAAUGUUUCUAUGUCUAAAACCAAACUGUGUCUACACUAAAUCAGUGGAGAUGUCCAGGGAGAAAUGGAUUAAUAUUGUUGUCCCUCAUUUGGCAGGUCUGUCAGAGAAACUCAGAAGCAUAACAGCCCAGUGUGCUUCAGAUCUAGCAACACAAGACAAGACAACACAAGUGUACAUUGUGCAGUGCGCUGAGGAGCAUUUGGACUUUUACACGGGCGAGACCAAAGAACCACACGUCACACGACGCAGUUAUACAUCUUCAAAGCAGAAAGGACACAGGAAUAAAGGAGGCUAUUUAUGUCCACACUGAAUGACCGCUAUUAGACUGCUGGUGUCCUAGAGCACCAGUCAUCAGUCACCUAUAACACAGUCUGGAGAUCCCUUUCCAGGUGAUUCAAUCCCCACUCACACCAUAACCCAUGUGACCUUAAUAAUUUCCAACAUGACAUGGUAGGACAAUGUCUCCAAAGGGAUUCACACCUUGGCCUCUGUGACAGUAAUGACCUACCUUGAUUCACACCUGGGCUCAUGUGACCCACAAUGACAAAGAUGGUGACUCUCAGGAUCUCUUCAAGAGACAAUCCCUCAAGGGGUAAAAUACCCAGGACUCUCCAUUAGUUUCUAGAACUAAAGAAGCCACUUGGAUGAGAAGUAAAAUGUCUUCACGAAGCAGAAAGAAGGGGGAAGCGAUCCAUGGAGGCCAAACGCCUCCAUGGGCCUUUCUUGGGCAAACGUGCCUGAAAGCCAAAACUCGGGGUUAGAAAAUCACAUGUGCUUUCUUUUUCCCUUGCACCUUCGCUUUCUGUGUAGGGCGGGGCGUGUGGCGCUCUCCGAGUUCCUCCGAUCUGUUCCGAUCUUCGCCGAUCUUCUACCCCGGUGGUAAGGUCGCUGUUUGUGCUGCGUGUUCUCCUCACAUCUGCACAGUCCGUCUCCGACCGAGCUCCCGUCAUGGUGGACAUAUUGGUGUUGAUGUUUUUCGCCGUUAUGGGCCUCGUCUUCCUCUCCUACAUCAUCUACAUGCUGUGAUAAAGAUGCGUCCUGGUCAGGCGGUGCUGGAGCCUAACGGAGGAUGUUUGUUUUUCCUCUCCUGCAUCCCCGGUUUACACCACAAACAGAGGGAGUAGAGCCACGGCCAGGCCAUGAUGGUUCCCUUUGGCGCUUUCAUGUGGGGAUGAAAGGAGCGAUCCAGGCAAGAGAGGAAAAACAAAUGGAGAAGUGGAAGCCAAACUGUUUUGCACACUGCAAUCAUUCCCCUCCUUCCUUCUUUGGAUCAGUCAGAUCUGACCAGGAUGCCCAAACAGAAAUUUUAACCCUCAUCAUCAUUUUCUGUGGUACUUCUGUGUCAGUAUUACUGUUUAGAGGAGUAGCGAUGUUACCUGCACAUAAGGAUCCAGGAUGGCAUUCAUAGAGGUGUAGAAUUUGCCUUUUUUUUUACGCUGUGAGAUUAUUUAUUUAUUUAUUUAUUUUUUAAGGAUGGGUUUGAUUUGAAGUGUUCAGUUUGACAGUAUUAUCCAGAUGUUUUAUCAGCUGUUUUUGCACAGGUUUGUGUUUCAGCAAUCAGUUGGAGAGCCUCAGACUUGUGAUGUCACUAUACUUUCCUUCUCACAGUAAUCAUCAUUGUCCACUAAAUUAAGAGGAAUGGAAAGGUAUUUGUUGCACUAUAUCAGUUGCUUUAAUGUCCUGAAGCUUUGCAACUACAUUGGUCUUUUUCUGUUUUUGUCCUUAUUAUUUUUGGCCACAGAUGACAUCCACAAAGAGAUGUUGUUUGUGUAUUUCUGAGUUUCAUAUUAUCUGUUAUAUUUAAAUAAUGUUCACUGAUGCACACACAAUUUUCUGAUAAUCGUGAAAUGUCAAAUAAAGAUGAUUCCAGUAAACCCAGCUGCCUUCUCUUUUGCUUGUUGGAAAGCAAAGCUGAAUUCAGCCUUUUUGGGCACUAAUGACUGUCACUGUCAGUUUUUAAGAAGAUGACAAACAUGUCAUGGUUCGAGCUUCUCAAAUAGAUGGAGGCUUUCCUGCUUAUUCUUAGGUGUAUUAAGUUUAAUACAUUUGCUCUUGGAGUGACAGACCAAAUCACUAUUUGUUGUUGUCCGCAGAUACUUUUAUUGAAAUUUAUAUUGCUUGAGUGGUUAAUAAGCAAAAGCAGGGCUGAGGUUGCACCAGACCACUAAAAGUGGAUUGUGUUGCCAUAUUGAUGUAACCACAGCUGGAAAUUACAGUAAAGAAUAAUCCUGGGGGGAAAAAAUAAGAACUCUUGUCCUCCACAAUUCAAUAUUAAAAAGGUCUCCAAACAAGAGCUGAAUCUAAGUGCACAGGCUUUAAAACAUGCUGCAAACCACUGGUUAAAGUCCAGAACAAUAAGGUCAGGUUAAACUUUAGCAGAAAACCUUUAAAUGAGCCCACAGAGUUCUGAAAAAGAAUUCCUUAAUCCAAGCAGGUACCAGAUUGAAGAGCAAUGUGUGGCUCAUGAACACAGCAGCGUACGCUUUCUGGUCACUCAAGACACGACUGAAUAUAGAGAGAACAUGUUUCAUCCCUCUGAAAAUGGGGGGUUAUGUACAAAGCUCUCUAUAAUUUUUAAUUAAUACAAAACUUCUAUCAAACUCAUUGAAUUAAACCUGAAAGUCUGCUCUUCAAGUACAUGUUGAUAGAUUUAAAAUCCACCGUGGGAGGUAUCCAAAGGCAAAAUUACAAAAAAUAAAAUAGACCUAAUUGUACAUUAUGCUUUUAUUUUGAAAUUUCCUAGACAAUAUACUUCACAAUUUUGUAUUUUUUCAGUCUGAUAUGGUUAUUUCUCUAAAUAAAAGGCAUAUUUCAC